GAAACUCAGGCUAAUACCGCAUGAGCCCUUCGGGGGAAAGCAGGGGAUCUUCGGACCUUGCGCUAUUGGAUGAGCCUAUGUCUGAUUAGCUUGUUGGUGGGGUAACGGCCUACCAAGGCGACGAUCAGUAGCUGGUCUGAGAGGACGAUCAGCCACACUGGGACUGAGACACGGCCCAGACUCCUACGGGAGGCAGCAGUGGGGAAUAUUGGACAAUGGGGGCAACCCUGAUCCAGCAAUGCCGCGUGUGUGAAGAAGGCCUGCGGGUUGUAAAGCACUUUCAGUGGGGAGGAAAAGCUCAAGAUUAAUACUCUUGAGUCUUGACGUUAUCCACAGAAGAAGCACCGGCUAACUCUGUGCCAGCAGCCGCGGUAAUACAGAGGGUGCAAGCAUUAAUCGGAAUUACUGGGCGUAAAGCGCGCGUAGGCGGUUUGUUAAGUCNGAUGUGAAAGCCCCGGGCUCAACCUGGGAACUGCAUUCGAUACUGGCAGGCUAGAGUAUGGUAGAGGGAAGUGGAAUUCCGGGUGUAGCGGUGA
rnacentral:rRNA from 1 species